rnacentral:rRNA from 1 species
UACGUAGGGCGCAAGCGUUGUCCGGAAUUAUUGGGCGUAAAGAGCUCGUAGGCGGCUUGUCACGUCGGGGUGUGAAAGCCCCGGGGGCUUAACCCCGGGUCUGCAUUCGAUACGGGCUGGCUGGAGUGUGGUAGGGGAGAUCGAAUUCCUGGUGUAGCGGUGAAAUGCGCAGAUAUCAGGAGGAACACCGGUGGCGAAGGCGGAUCUCUGGGCCAUUACUGACGCUGAGGAGCGAAAGCGUGGGGAGCGAACAGG